AUCUGGAGUAGUUGCCAUUGUGCAACAGGGCAUAUAAAGCAUUGAAUCUUACGGCGCAAUCCGGUAGAUAAGGAUUGCCAGAAUUCGAAAAGUUCAAUUUCAAUACCAAAAAUGAUUGGAUAACUGAACUCUUUUGGCUUCGUCAGUCUUCUUCAGUUCUGCGCUCAUCAAGCAAUAUAUAAUUAAUGUCAGCAAUAUCAACAAAAGAUUCCAGUAUCAUACAGAGAACAGGAUGGACUAAUAAGUGAGAGAUUACUGAUGGGUGCACCUUUUAUAUCUGUUUGUACUUGUCAACGCAUGCAACAUAGUGGAAUGGCAACAGAAUGGGAGACAACCAAUGCCUAGCCAUGAUGGUCAUUAACCAUUACAAAGACCUCACAAAUAAUUCCCAAAAAAAAACAACAAAAGAAUCUGCAAAAGAAAGCAGGAGAAUAUUUCAGAUAUAAUCAAGUCACAAAAAAAAGAUUAAUAUUGUUUAUCCAAACCACAGGUAAGUAAAUGUCAAAAGCAUUGAUCACCUAAAAAUUACAGAAACAAGUUUACACAAAAAUGAAUGUCUACAAUCCCAUUCAAACGAUCUCCUUCUGCAACAAGGAUGGUCUUUCUCCCU
rnacentral:lncRNA from 1 species